UUAUGAUAUAAUAUAUAUAACUCUUUGGUUUGAUACAACUUCACACUCUUGAAAAUGUAAAUUCAAAGUUUCACUCUUAAAAUAACCAACAAUGUUUUACACUCUUUCAGAAAACUCAACAGAAAGUAAACAACAAAAAUGCACAGGUAAAUAACCAGAUGAAAAGGUAUCAGUCCAAAGCAAAUACUUAGUCCUUUGAAAUAAAUGUCCAACGUGGAAACAAAAAUACUCAGAUCCUUGAGUGAAAAGAGUUUCGAUGCUUAGCAAAAAAUGUGUCCAAAAAGUAAAAAACAGGUUUACACAAUAUUUCCUACCAGUUCCUUUGAAAUAAAUGUCCAACGUGGAAACAAAAAUACUCAGAUCCUUGAGUGAAAAGAGUUUCGAUGCUUAGCAAAAAAUGUGUCCAAAAAGUAAAAAACAGGUUUACACAAUAUUUCCUACCAGUGUGAUGAACAACUUCCAGAUUCUAUGAAAUGGGAUGGCUCGCCAGUUUCUGCAACCGUGUGUCUCUCUCUCUCUCUCGAUGGACAGCAGAAACAAUUCUCCCAAACGUCAACAAAACUCCAGAUCCAGAAUCAGCAUUGC
ensembl:lncRNA